AUUGAACGCUGGCGGCAUGCUUUACACAUGCAAGUCGAGCGGCAGCGCGGGGGCAACCCUGGCGGCGAGCGGCGAACGGGUGAGUAAUGCAUCGGAACGUACCCUGGAGUGGGGGAUAACGCCGCGAAAGCGGCGCUAAUACCGCAUAUGCUCUGAGGAGGAAAGCGGGGGCUCGCAAGACCUCGCGCUCUGGGAGCGGCCGAUGUCCGAUUAGCUAGUUGGUGGGGUAAAGGCUUACCAAGGCGACGAUCGGUAGCUGGUCUGAGAGGAUGAUCAGCCACACUGGGACUGAGACACGGCCCAGACUCCUACGGGAGGCAGCAGUGGGGAAUUUUGGACAAUGGGGGCAACCCUGAUCCAGCCAUGCCGCGUGAGUGAAGAAGGCCUUC
rnacentral:rRNA from 1 species